rnacentral:rRNA from 1 species
UAGGGAAUCUUCCACAAUGGACGCAAGUCUGAUGGAGCAACGCCGCGUGAGUGAAGAAGGCUUUCGGGUCGUAAAACUCUGUUAUUGAAGAAGAACGUGUGUGACAGUAACUGGUCAUGCAGUGACGGUAUUCAAUCAGAAAGUCACGGCUAACUACGUGCCAGCAGCCGCGGUAAUACGUAGGUGGCAAGCGUUGUCCGGAUUUAUUGGGCGUAAAACGAGUGCAGGCGGUCUUUUAAGUCUGAUGUGAAAGCCUUCGGCUUAACCGAAGAAGGGCAUCGGAAACUGGGAGACUUGAGUGCAGAAGAGGAGAGUGGAACUCCAUGUGUAGCGGUGAAAUGCGUAGAUAUAUGGAAGAACACCAGUGGCGAAGGCGGCUCUCUGGUCUGUAACUGACGCUGAGGCUCGAAAGCGUGGGUAGCAAACAGGAUUAGAUACCCUGGUA